UACGUAGGGUGCGAGCGUUAAUCGGAAUUACUGGGCGUAAAGCGUGCGCAGGCGGUUCGUCGUGUCCGAUGUGGAAGCCCCGGGCUCAACCUGGGAAUGGCAUUGGAAACUGGCGGACUCGAGUGUGGCAGAGGGGGGUGGAAUUCCGCGUGUAGCAGUGAAAUGCGUAGAGAUGCGGAGGAACACCGAUGGCGAAGGCAGCCCCCUGGGCUAACACUGACGCUCAGGCACGAAAGCGUGGGGAGCAAACAGG
rnacentral:rRNA from 1 species